GGCCGGGAACUCAAAGGAGACUGCCAGUGAUAAACUGGAGGAAGGUGGGGAUGACGUCAAGUCAUCAUGGCCCUUACGACCAGGGCUACACACGUGCUACAAUGGCAUAUACAAAGAGAAGCGACCUCGCGAGAGCAAGCGGACCUCAUAAAGUAUGUCGUAGUCCGGAUUGGAGUCUGCAACUCGACUCCAUGAAGUCGGAAUCGCUAGUAAUCGUAGAUCAGAAUGCUACGGUGAAUACGUUCCCGGGCCUUGUACACACCGCCCGUCACACCAUGGGAGUGGGUUGCAAAAGAAGUAGGUAGCUUAACCUUCGGGAGGGCGCUUACCACUUUGUGAUUCAUGACUGGGGUGAAGUCGUAACAAGGUAACCGUAGGGGAACCUGCGGUUGGAUCACCUCCUUACCUUAAAGAA
rnacentral:rRNA from 8 species